GCCUUUGUAGCUCAGUGGUAGAGCAUUCCCUUGGUAAGGGAAAGGUCAUGGGUUCAAUCCCCAUCAAAGGCU
rnacentral:tRNA from 1 species